AAAUGAUGAAACAAAUAAUUCUUUUUUAGUGAAUUUAAUUAAUUGCAAUUAUACCAUUUACUGAUUAA
rnacentral:sRNA from 1 species